rnacentral:rRNA from 1 species
AUUGAACGCUGGCGGCAGGCCUAACACAUGCAAGUCGAGCGGCAGCACUUCGGGUGGCGAGCGGCGGACGGGUGAGUAACACGUAGGAAUCUACCUAGUAGUGGGGGAUAGCCCGGGGAAACGUCGGAUUAAUACCGCAUACGCUCUACGGAGGAAAGGGGGCGUUCGGCUCUCGCUAUUAGAUGAGCCUGCGUCGGAUUAGCUAGUUGGUGAGGUAAAGGCUCACCAAGGCGACGAUCCGUAACUGGUCUGAGAGGAUGAUCAGUCACACUGGAACUGAGACACGGUCCAGACUCCUACGGGAGGCAGCAGUGGGGAACGAUUGGACAAUGGGGGAAACCCGUGAUCCAGCCAUGCCGCGUGUGUGAAGAAGGCCUCGGUU